rnacentral:misc_RNA from 1 species
GUGAUUGGAUGGCAUGUGCUUGCAGGCUCCUUGCUUUGUGCAUCGAACUGCUGGCCCGUCGUCCGCUUCAAUUUUUCCCCGAGCGCUCUCUGUGCGAGUUUUGUGGGUUCGGUCGGUAUCCUGUGUUGCUUACCCGGUUGCUGGAAUUGAUUGGUUUCGGCUCUCUCGUCUGCCCUGUGCCCAUUGGGGCGUGGGGCGGACGCGAUGCGGGCUCUGUGCUCCUGGCGUGCCACGUGCUGAGUUGCGUGGCCGUCUCGGCGCACGAAGUCUUCGCUCGUGCUCUUGGAUUCGGAAUGUCUGUUUGUGCGUGGGGAUGGUGCCUUGGCCCCGAUCCGCCCGAGCUCUACGCGAAUGUCCCUUGACCCGAAUGACAGCCGCUCCCGUCUCGAUUCCGCCGUGCGGGGCGUGCGGGGGCGGGCGUCACCGAGGAACGCUACCUGGUUGAUCCUGCCAGUAGUCAUAUGCUUGUCUCAAAGAUUAAGCCAUGCAU